ACAAAGGCGCGUGACGCAAAGGCAGCAGGCCCACGUGGCAGUGUUUUCAUUGCCGGAGCCGCCCAGCUGGGAGGGAGAGGGAAGAACGAAUGCGGCUGGGGCCAGACCUGCUGGUUUCAGUCCGGCAACUGCGUCGGGGCCGCCGCAAGGGUGACAGGACUACGCGCUAGUUCCCACCCUGCCCAGACGCCUUGCCAUGUGUAACUCUGCCUAUUAAACUUACAGAGUUUAGCAGAGAGCGUUAGACUCCAAAGCCCCACCCUUUUGUCGAGUCCUCAAGCCGCAUUGAGAGAAGCUCCUGAAAUGGGGCUGCCUCAGCCAGAGAGAUAGCAAGUUAUCUUAUCCAUUGCCGAGCGGUUGAGAACCCUCACUACUUGCCAAGCGCGCCGUACUAUGCUGAUGGUCCAUUAUGCCACCAGCCAUGUGGAAAUAACAUCUCAGGACUGCCUCAUCUGAUUUCAUUUUUCCCAAGACAAUACAAUAGCCUUCCUAAAACACCAAGGUGAAUCACAGGUUCUCAGUAAAUGCUUACUGAUUGGCUGAUGAUCACGAAGACAGUUGCUUUCUACGAGUGCUUUUGCUAAUGUCCUUGGAGCUGAGAGUCUGUUACCCAUGCCAGUGCAGAGAGGUUCAAUCAAGGUGUUUUUGUUCACCGAGGCAUCUUCGCACUGGUCAAGAACACAGAGAUGGGUUCAGCAGGAACACCCACUACUUCACUACUGCCCACUACUACCUGAGAAAAUGGAAAUCAGCUCAGAUGAGCAGACUGGAAUGUUCCCAACAGUCAUAAACAAGGCCAGCACAAGGCCAGGCGAAAACUGUGUUUAACCCAAGGCCACACCGUAGCGCAAAAUUACUGACAUUGGCGUAUCUAAUCCUUUCUUAUCAAAGCCUCUCCCAGACCCACUCGAUUUCUCCACUUGCUGAACAAAAAUUUCUGAGAUAUCCGAUGAUGAAACCACUUGCUUCACAACACAUCCAUUCCUGACCUGAUUCCUGUUUCUUCUACCUUUCCCUUCCUAGCAUCACUUAACACAAACCUGGCAAAAAGCCCUUUCCCACAGCCUCUUACUGAGAUGCCUCAUGGUUCACUUGAUGUGCACACCCUCUUGCUGCAGGAAGUUAAUAAAACUGACAUU